UCGCUCACCGCUCCUCUGAUCCCGUCGCUCACCAUCAGUCGUCUUCGCGGUGUGCUCACAUCGGUUGUCAGCAUCAUCCUCUGAUCCCGUCGCUCACCAUCGUGGUGGAGAAGAAACUGAUGACAGGAGAGGACCAUCAUUAAGAGCUAAGAUUGUAGGAAGUAAUCACAAGAACAAGAACAAGAAUAAAGCUAAGGUGGGGUUAGCAAGACGAAGCAAUCACAAGAACAAUUAUUUUGAAAAAUGUUUCAUCCAUCUCAGGUAAUGUUCCUGAAACCUAAACUAGAAGCUUAGUAAAAACAGAAACAAGCAUUCCUUUAAAGCUUUCGUGCCUUGGUGUGAUAUAAGAUUUUUUGAUAAAUGCUCAUAAAGAAAACAGUUCUUUAAAACAUUAUAUUCUUCAUAAAUAAGGUUAAAUAAC